GUAGUCUGCAACUCGACUACAUGAAGCUGGAAUCGCUAGUAAUCGCGAAUCAGAAUGUCGCGGUGAAUACGUUCCCGGGUCUUGUACACACCGCCCGUCACACCAUGGGAGUCGGAAAUGCCCGAAGUCUGUGACCCAACCUACGGGAGGGAGCAGCCGAAGGCAGGUCGGAUGACUGGGGUGAAGUCGUAACAAGGUAAC
rnacentral:rRNA from 1 species